AUUGAACGCUGGCGGCAGGCCUAACACAUGCAAGUCGAACGAGUGGCGGACGGGUGAGUAAUGUAUGGGGAUCUGCCUGAUGGAGGGGGAUAACUACUGGAAACGGUAGCUAAUACCGCAUACCAUCGGAUGAACCCAGAUGGGAUUAGCUAGUAGGUGGGGUAACGGCUCACCUAGGCGACGUUCCCUAGCUGGUCUGAGAGGAUGAGCAGCCACACUGGGACUGAGACACGGCCCAGACUCCUACGGGAGGCAGCAGUGGGGAAUAUUGCACAAUGGGCGCAAGCCUGAUGCAGCCAUGCCGCGUGUAUGAAGAAGGCCUUCGGGUUGUAAAGUACUUUCAGUCGGGAGGCGUUACCCACAGAAGAAGCACCGGCUAACUCCGUGCCAGCCGCCGCGGUAAUUC
rnacentral:rRNA from 1 species